CCAGCAUAGCUACAUCCUUCUGCCCCACUCCCGAAUGACCUUAACUAAGCCAUCCAUCAGAAUAGUUGCAUCAACACCAGAGGGAUUGCUGACAUGUCAGCUGGAGCCUUUCUCAUGAUUUUGGGGGCCUGACUCAUGAUGAUUGUGUAUUUGGAACUGGCAAUACUGUCAUCUCCAUGGCUAUUCAAGACUGGCCAAACCAGAUCCAAAGAACCCACACUUUGAGGACAUAGGCGUUGGAACCUGGACUUGGGCACAUCUGCCAUGCUAAGGCCAGAUUGUAUCUAUCUUCUCUGGGGUUCGAAGUGGCCAUCACUGAGAAAUUGGCGCACAUGGAGCUGGUCCAAAUGAACGGUACGUACUGGUGUGUGGCUGCCCAGAACCACUCCAUAGAGCUAAAUGGAAAGCCCGGCCCCUCGAGGCAUCCAUCCGUGUGCAUGACGGUUCCCCGAAGGGCACCCUGACUGUUGACGGGACGUGGCUCCACCGUACUCCGCCAAUGAUGGGUAACUUAACAUGGGAUCCGGAAUGGCACUAUGGCAGUAAGUAUCUAGAGGAGGGUCUACAGGCUCUGCAGGCGAAGAUCAAGGAGUUGGUGGCUGAGGCCCAGAGGCAUAUUGGGGAAGGCCAUCUGAUGUACACCCUGAUAGGGGAAACCGUGGACCAGGCCAAUGUGAAGUACUCAAAGGCGUGGAACCAGGCAGUGGAAGUUAAAGCGAUGAUCAUGGGCGAUGCCAUCUCAGAUAUGUAUCUGUUGGGCAGUCAAAGGAGCUACUUCAUUCCUAUGGAUCCCAAAUUGAAUUCAACAUAUAUUCUAUACUAAUACUUUAAUAAAUGUAUUAAUUAAAUGCUAAAUGUUAAUUUGUUAACAUUGAGACCAUGGGGAGAGACAUUAUGUAACCUUUUGACCAUUGGCUACUGUGCUAUCAUGUCUUGCAGCUAGACCUAUCCGGGGGUGUGGGACUGCCUACCCUGUCACUUUCCCCGCCCAUGGAAAAUCCAUAUAUUCCAUUGUAAUCAAUUAAUUGACAGUGUCUCUGAGCCUAAUAAGCAAGGUGACACUCUGUCAGCGCUGUACGUAAUAAACUCCUAUGCUUGA